GACCCGAGCCGACAGAGACGACCACGUUAAAAUCAUCAGUGAAAAUAUUAUUGCAAAAUACAUUCACAACUUUGCCAAACAGAAUAAAGUCAACACGACUUAUACCUUCGAUUACGACUACAAGUCGGUCAUGCACUACGGGUCACAUUUCUUCAGCUCCUCCAGAGACAAGCCCACCAUCGUGCCAAAGGUCGAGGGGGUUGAAAUCGGACAGCGGAGGAUGCUCAGCAAGACGGACUGCUUGAAAGUCAACCAGCUCUAUGGCUGUCUGGAUAAGGAUGCCUUCAGCAGGGCGAAAUAUCGUGCCUUUUGUUCUUAUCUAGGUUUAUAGCAAAAUAGUUUUUCUUUCAAUUCAUUUUGUUUCAACUAUAUCUACAAAUUAAUUUUAAUAAGGUCAUGGAGAGAAUAGACGAUGAAGAAUAUUUGUAUACGCGUAUAAGGAGAUAAAGAGAGAGAGAAGAGAGGGAGGGAGAAUGAGAUAGAUCUGCAUUGAUAAAGCAUAUCUCCAGAACAUUGUAAAUUCCUGUAGAAGGCUUGGGUAAGAUGUCAUCCAUCCAUCCAAUCUGGCUGAGCUUCCAUUUAUGUAAAGGACUAUCACUUAAACAUUAAUUCUGUAUGCAUAAAGAGCUGGCUCGUAGUGCUUGCCUUGUUUCCUCGUCACACACACACACAAACACACACACACACACACACACACACACACACACACACA